UUUUUUCUUUUUUUUUUUUUUAACAAAAAUCCUCUAAUGAUGAUGGACUCUGUAUAACCUGGGCUAGUUUGAGGGAAAUUCUUGUUUGUUUUUUCCACGAAAGUGGCAUGAUUGGUGACAUAUUCUACAACGCAAAGACCAGCUCUCAUAGGUGAAAUGAAAUGCCGGCCAGGUGCCAUCUAAGUGGAUUUUACUAAAGGGCAGCCCACCAAACAGCCUGCCUGGAGGAAACAAGGCACAGUGGAGAGAUUGGAGAAGCACCUGUUCCCACCUUUGGGGAAGCAAUCACCUGGUUGGAUGCCGAAAAGUGAUACAUGCCAGCCCUUCCUGUCAAUGGCGAUGCCGUGGCUGGAAACAUGCACUUCCACUGAGCUUGGCUCCAGGUUGCCAAGAGCCUGCACCUGACAAGCAACCAGGGGGGAACCCUUCCGAUACACAGAAAGAGCAAAAGAGAGAGUCUGCAUUGAAAACCAGCCGUGGCCCAGUUGGUCCACUGAGAAUAAGAACCUGGUAAACUGCUUCUUCCUAUAAAAGACAGAAGAGACAAAGUUCUGGUCCUACAAGCUUCUCUGUGGGGUCCAAAUGUGCCAUACCAGUCUAAUUCUGCAAUACCUCUGCAUGCAUUGGCUUUGCAGUUCAAAAUUGCUUUUGAGAAAAAUGGGCACAAUAAAAUAAGAAUGUAUGCCUUUAAGGAAGAAUCCCCCAGAUAAGUAUUGCUAAAGUCUCAGAGACAUAACUCAUAAAAUAUAGAGGGUAUUUGGGCUGAGGCUAAGGUUCAACACUGAUCAUCGCUAACAUGAUCAUCUCUAACAAGUCAACAUGUGACAUUAGCCAGAGGAAAUGGUGGAUGUUAAAAGAAACUUGAAAAUCCCAGGAAACAGCCACUUGAUGAGCGAACAGUUUAAUUUACACUGUCACUCCCAGGAAAUAGACAAUAGUUUUAUUAAAGUUGCAACAGUAUAACAAUUUGCAAUUCAUUCACAUUUCACAUUAGACAGCCCCUUCCUUUCAGCUAAUGUUAACUAUCGCCAGUAAAAUAUGCAAUUACAACCAUUUAUUGAGCAUUUACAGUGUGCAGGGCACUGUGUCGCAAGCUUUAAAAGCAUCCUGUGAUUUAACUAUCAUAGGGAACACUUACAUAGAACUUACUAUGCGCCAGACAUAUUUCUAUGCGUUUUGUUUUCAUUAACUUACUCCUUGCAAAAACCCCAUGAAGUAUUGCUUCUCCAAAACAAACAAACAAAAACAACCAUGAGGUAGGUACUAUAAUUUUCACUGUUUUACAGAGAAGGAAACUGAGGCAUGGCAAUGUUAAAUAAUUUGCCCGGGCCUAUAUAUGUCUGAUUAAGAGACAGAGCAAUAAUUCAAUUCCAUGCAAUCUGUUCCAAAGUCCAUGUUCUCAAUCAUUUCUUCAUAAUUGCACCAUCAAAAUAUGUUCAUGAAAUAUAUACUGCAAUUACCCCAUUUUUUAAUAAGUAAGAAAACUGAGGUCUAGAAUGGUUCAGUCAUUUCUCCAGUUGCACAUCCACGAAGUGGCAGAGUCUCGACUUGAACCAAGGCCUUUCUGAACCGGUGCCAAAGCCUAGAGGCCAUAGGCCAUCUUGGGUUAGUUGUGGUUCAUUGGCUGUGAGUAUAUGAUUAUUUUUCCCACUCAAAUAUCAAGUCAAUAUAUUUGAACGGCUAUUGGGUGCUAGAUAUUAUGUUUGGUGCUGAAGAGCAAAUGGUUCAGCCUUUCAAAGUGCUUACACUUUAGUGGUGGAGGUGCUGAUGCUGAAUUUGUUAUUAAAAUACAUGAAAAGACUAAAAGGAUGACCUUUUCUGCAUGUUCUUUGUCACAUGCAAAGACUCUCUUUAACUGGUGGCUUUAGCUAUGGGUGUCAAAAAGAACAUUGACUGUGUCCUUUCCUCAAUAAUCAGUCUCUGAUGACAAAUCAAUCUUUUUGUCAUGGCUAAGUAUCAGAUUCUGUAAGCUAUCUGUUGCAUGUUGCUUGGGGUCAUUGUCAAUGAGUCCU
rnacentral:lncRNA from 1 species